ensembl:lncRNA
GUUCCGGCAUUUGAGCCAAUCAGCGAUAAGCUUCACUGUACGCGCUCAUUUAACUUCGUUAGUUCAGGAGAAGAUGACUGGGCUACGGCUAAAGCCAGCAGAAGCUACAUCGAACAAACUUCCCUUGUCUGCUUUGUGUUGCGGGUGCUGCUGCUGACUGUCCUGAAAUCCAUGCGUUGCAGCAAGAUGGGAGCGGAUGGAUUCGCCUCAGGGUCGAACGUGAAGCAGGAAUUCCGGCCAACUGCCAUGAAAUUCACACCUCUCAGAGAGAUGAGCGGGUGGAGCUGCCUCGCAAUCACAACUUGAAAAGCAAGUGGGAGGGUGUCAUGCUGUGGAUUUUCUCGGGCUUCUCCCUCCCAGAGUCCACCAUCAGCGCACUGACCUUGGAGGGCAGCGCCUUCAUUCCUGAAGGCAGACUAGAAAAACCCUUCCAGAUCCACAGCAGCAGCCCCUGGUACAGCUGCAGGACCCCCACCCGCUGCACAGGUGGCGUGUCCUUGAUGCCCGAGCGGCUGCAGUAUUGACCCGAUACGGGGAGGACGUUCCUGAUGGACGUGUCGGCCCAGAACCGCAUGGUGACCAGUGUGUUCCUUGGAAUAUCUCUCCUGCUGCAUUGUGGGCUUAUUGCUGAGAGCAGCAUCAUCAUCAUCAGAGGCCACAGCUCAUCUUAAAUAUCUCCACGGUCAUUGAAUAAAC